ACACGUAAAAUAUGGAACUUGCUUUAAUUACACCGUCAUGUUAACAUUAAUACUUUCGGUAUGUACGCUUUCAUCAACACUUUCUCAGCGGGAACUUUUUUUAACAAUAUUAGUCACUACGCUGAGCACUGUCAUGGAAGAAAAUCGAUCCUGAAGCAUUGUACUUCUUAGCCGCGUUUUUCUCACAGCCUUUUUGUUUAACAGAAGAGUGUAAAUAAGCUGGGGCAAUGCUUCUUUAUUAAUAUACUUGUUCGAAUUUUCAGCAUUCAAUUUCUCAUUUUUCAAACGAAGCAUUAUGUUUUUCAUGUCCCUCGCUUCACCUUCUGAGGCUGAUGUGCCCAUUGACAAGAUUUUUUUAUAAAUAUUAAUGAAAUCCUCUCCGUUCUUUAGAUCGAAUUUCAAAAAUGCUCAUUUUAAUUAAUUUUUUCUAACUUCACUAAAAUAGGAAUUGACCUAUGUAACGCAAUUCGAAUCCCUUGAAUUCAUGUUAAUCCGUAUUAAUUUGAAUUAAUUUAUAUUCAAUUGACAUGCCGAUUCGACAACUUAUUUCCUCAUUGCCGUAGGUACUAACCCCCGAAUUUACAAACGUCCCUUAAACGUUUGACGGGUGAAACAUAUAACGACCUGUACUUCAAGUAUCUUCUGUUUUUAAUCUUGUUGACUGUGAAUUUACGCCGGUUCAACGUUUCAUAAGAUAACAACAAUGAAAACAGAAGAUUAUAACCGGCCUUUACAGGCAUAUUCCACCGGUAAAACGUUUAACGGACCUCGUAAUUUACGUAUUGCAACACAUAUGUUGAAAAAAAUUCUAUAUCACUUUUAAUUUGAUCAUUCAAAUUUUUUCGAAAGGAAAAAUAAGUCACUGCUCUUUCCGAGCGGAGAAAUAAAAUGUCAAUUAUUCUUGUACUCCGUCUUUCCAAUUGUACGGAUCAUCAAGCCUUACUAUAAAUAGUAUUUUCGAUGUCGAUAUAAAAAAUUGUCACAAAUUUCUCUCCGUGCAAAAUCUCUGGGCAAAUUACCACAACAAAAAGAAAACUUGAAAUGUUGACUCACCCGUAAAAACCUGUUUCUGUAUUCGAAGAUUCAUAAACUAUAUCAUUUAUAUGAAAUUGUAUUGUUAUGUAAUAAAAAAAACACAAUAGAUAAAUUUUACGUCGUACGUAGCACCGAAGCGAACACGUCUGGUCAGCUUUUCGCGACUGUUACGUACUCCAUAUCGCAUACAUGUGUCCAAAUCGUCUUAUUUUUUACUUCAUAAUAAUGACUAGAAGACGCGUUGACUACGUGUCUGUGUACGACAAAUAAUUGUCUAUUGUUUCUCUUGUUUCAUAACAGUGAAAUACAUUGAACAUAUACCUAUGUGUCACGAUACGUAACAUAAAAAUAAACGAGUAAGUAAACUCUUUGCGGCACAGCGUCACAUAUAUGUGACACCAUUUUGAAUGGGUUAUUUAAGAUUUAUAUUCUAUUUUUGAGAUGUCGUGAUCAUUAUUUUUGUAUAAUUGGGCUUUCAAGAUGCCAAUGCUGACGUUUUAGAAGGGAUUGUGAUCUGUGCGAAAAACCAAAAGCAACACCAUAAAACAAAAAGAGAUAUAAAGAACAUAAAAAGACAAAAAACAAAAACGGAGAUGGAACUAAAAUCCCGCUACGUCCUUCUCGUUAGUUCCGGAUAACGCAAAGAGCGAGAUUCACCCUAGCAUUUUGUGCAAGGUGCACCGAAUUCAAUCCGCUAAUUGAAUUUUGUAAUUCUGACGUCGAAUUCGUUUUUUCAGCGAUCGCGAAAACCCCCGAACAACAAAUGUCAAGCAAAAAAGAUCAAGCUUUAUAUUUUCAGUCCGCCGUAUUGAAUCCAUCAUCUUGAAUUUUGGAAUUCUCACAUCGGAUUAGUUUUCAGCGAUCCCGGUAACCCUUGAAAACCCAGUUUCAAGGAAUUAUACUGCAAGGAAAAAUGUAUGCCUCAAAGGGUUAAUGGUGCCAUGGUCAAUUCUGACGUUGAAGUAUGUAUCUCGAAAUAUCAAAGUCCACGCAUCUCAAACGCAAAAGUGGGCUUAACAGCCUCAUUCUAUACACAAUUCUAAACAAAAACAUUCUAACACAUUUUCAUUUGACGCAGAAAUAAAGAAAUGGCACGAAUUCUAACAAUUUACUAUUGCGAUUUCUUAGAAUCCGUACCAUUUCUUUAUUUCUACAUCGAAUGCAAACGUAUUGGAGUGGUUUUUGUGCAGAAUUCCAUAUAGAAUACGGCCGUUAAGCCCUUCUUCACUUUCGAGUUACGUGGACUUUGAUAUUUGGAGAUAUAUACGUCAACGUCGGAAUCGACUAUGGUGCCUCCUUAAAUCUUGGCUUUGCGUUAACUUCUAGGAAGAAACCCUCCACGAGUUGUCAAAAUUAUUAUUAUUAUUGUUUUUGUUGUUGUUGUUGUUGUUGUUAUUAUUAUUAAUAAUAAUAUUGUUAUUAUUAUCUGUCUUCCACAUGUCAAAUCAAGAGUAACUUAUUUUACUUAAUCAACCAGAGGAAUUCCAAAUUGAUUUUGAAAAUAAAUAUAUUGAUUUGCAUUGCAUGUAAGAUUGUUAAUGCCCCUUGCGAGGGGGAAAUAACUUGUCGAAUUGGCGUGUCAAUGGCGUGUGAAUUGAUUCAAAGUGAUACGGAUCAACAUGAAUUUAACGCAAUCGAAUUGCAUGAGCAAUGAGCUGCAGCGAUGUAAGGUAAACAUAUAGCGUGGAAGACGUUCCGAACGAUUCAUCAAUACACAUUCUGUACGCGUAGCGUGAAUCAUUAAUAAUGCAAAUAAACUAUGCUAAAUAAGUUACUAUCUAUCGGUUGAACGAGACAAACAGGUGACGCUUAUGUCGCCAUGUAAGUUAUGAGCAUAGUGCUAAUUCCCAUAGAGGAAUCAGUGUUUUCAGAAACUAGAUUUGCAUACCAAUUAAUUAAAAUCUAAAUGUUAAGAGGACCAGUUGUGACACUGCAUAAUUUGUGCUUACCUUCCAUCACUUAUGAUCGUAGAACAUAAAUAUGCAUUGGUUUCGGCCGAAAAUGACUGUAUAAUGUCAACGAAUCUUGUGAGCCACUUAUAUCGAAGACAUCGGUCCGUAAAUCUGCUAAUUUGUCCUGACAGACUACCAGGAAAAAUCGCGGAAGCGGCUCAAUGAAAAUAUCUAAAAGUAUCAGUAAAUCGAUCUGCUGCCUUUAUCACCUGCACCAUGUGUACCUUAAUAACAUAGAACUGCAAACUAUAUCUGGAGCCGUCUUCGGGACAAAAAUGGCAACCAGUUUGAUAUCAGGAGGUUUGUAAAAUUCAUGACUUAACAACGUUACCCACUCUGUUUAUUUAUCCUCAAUAGAGUGGAAGUAUUAUGGUAGAUUAAAUUUGCAUAGUGGUAUAAUUAAAAAUACCUGAACGAUAAAGAUGCUCGCUAGUUCUGGAAUGAUAUUUCAAGUGGAUGUAAUUUCAAUAGAUACAUCAGUGCUAUAAAAAUCUCGAAACGACUCAAUAUUAAAAGCUCCGUUCAAGAAGAAACGGUAUAGUUUUAUUUUUCUUAUUUUAACUGGUAAUUUUAUUCGAAUCUGUGAUCUUGGGCCAUUUGGAAAUGACUUUUGUCGAAAGUGUACGCUAUACUGUUUUACAAGAAUCUUUUAAAUUCAAAUAACAAGCAUGCCGAACUGCCGUAUCUUGCUUCUUUUCAGAUACACGCGCUUCUACCGUGUAGAACGCAACAUUUCCGUGUUCAAGUUUCUCCCCUGAUGAUCUCGGAAACUGUGCAAUGGAAAAUUCUCACAUGUACGGAAGUUUACAUCUAAACGACAAGAGAAAAGAAAGUAUGAAUGAACGACAAAAGGUUUCGAUAAUACUUGACGAUACUUGCAGUAAUUGAAUUGGUUUGCAAAGCGAUGAAAAGCACGAUCAAAAAUGUGGCUCUUAUGGAUUGCUUUUCUUGUUGAUACUGUGCAAAAAAUAUAAACCAAUAAAACCUGGCCGUAUAAUUUUAACGGCCUUCCUCUUUACAACCUUACAAGGUCGCUGAAGGCCCCGUUUUAAUGGCAGGUGUGACUUGAUUCUACAACCACUUACCUAUACAAGUUAGAUUUUUAGAGAAUACUGGAAAGCAUUCUUUUAGAAUAACAGUGAACGCUCGAAUUCCAUCACCAAAAUCAUUAAUGCGUCAUAU